rnacentral:rRNA from 1 species
AAUGAACGCUGGCGGCAGGCCUAAAACAUGCAAGUCGAACGCCCUAGCAAUAGGGGUGGCGCACGGGUGAGUAACAUGUGGGAAUAUGCCUUUUGGUACGGAACAACGUUUGGAAACAAACGCUAAUACCGUAUGGUCCCUCCGGGGUAAAGAUUUAUCGCCAAAAGAUUAGCCCGCACUAGAUUAGCUAGUUGGUAAGGUAAUGGCUUACCAAGGCGACGAUCUAUAGCUGGUCUGAGAGGAAGAUCAGCCACACUGGGACUGAGACACGGCCCAGACUCCUACGGGAGGCAGCAGUUAGGAAUAUUGGACAAUGGGCGCAAGCCUGAUCCAGCCAUGCCGCGUGAGUGAUGAAGGCCUUCGGGUUGUAAAGCUCUUUAGCCGACGAAUAUAAUGACUGUAGUCGGAGAAUAAGCCCCGGCUAACUUCGUGCCAGCCGCCGCCGUAACAC